rnacentral:rRNA from 1 species
UAAUACGUAUGGGGCAAGCGUUGUUCGGAUUCACUGGGCGUAAAGGGCGUGUAGGCGGUGUGGUAAGUCGGAUGUGAAAUCUCCAGGCUCAACCUGGAAACUGCACUCGAAACUGCCAUGCUUGAGUACCGGAGAGGGAAACGGAAUUCCUGGUGUAGGGGUGAAAUCUGUAGAUAUCAGGAAGAACACCGGUGGCGAAGGCGGUUUCCUGGCCGGAUACUGACGCUGAGGCGCGAAAGCUAGGGGAGCAAACAGGAUUAGAUACCCUGGUAGUCCUAGCUGUAAACGUUGUGCACUAGGUGUAAGUGGUUUCAACCCACUUGUGCCGUAGCUAACGCAUUAAGUGCACCGCCUGGGGAGUAUGCUCGCAAGGGUG